rnacentral:rRNA from 1 species
GUUUUCGGACCUAGAGACCGGCGCACGGGUGCGUAACGCGUAUGCAAUCUACCUUUCACAGAGGGAUAGCCCAGAGAAAUUUGGAUUAAUACCUCAUAGUAUAACAUGACCGCAUGGUCGAGUUAUUAAAGUCACAACGGUGAAAGAUGAGCAUGCGUCCCAUUAGCUAGUUGGUAAGGUAACGGCUUACCAAGGCAACGAUGGGUAGGGGUCCUGAGAGGGAGAUCCCCCACACUGGUACUGAGACACGGACCAGACUCCUACGGGAGGCAGCAGUGAGGAAUAUUGGACAAUGGGCGCAAGCCUGAUCCAGCCAUGCCGCGUGCAGGAUGACGGUCCUAUGGAUUGUAAACUGCUUUUGCACAGGAAGAAACAACUCUACGUGUAGAGUCUUGACGGUACUGUGAGAAUAAGGAUCGGCUAACUCCGUGCCAGCAGCCGCGGUAAUACGGAGGAUCCAAGCGUUAUCCGGAAUCAUUGGGUUUAAAGGGUCCGUAGGCGGUUUAGUAAGUCAGUGGUGAAAGCCCAUCGCUCAACGGUGGAACGGCCAUUGAUACUGCUAAACUUGAAUUAUUAGGAAGUAACUAGAAUAUGUAGUGUAGC